GCCAGUGUGCUGUAGUGGUUGGAGGGUUAGACUAGGAUUCUAGGAGAUCAAGGUUCAAAUCCCUGCUCAGCCA